rnacentral:rRNA from 1 species
AUUCCCCUAGUAACUGCGAGUGAAGCGGGAAAAGCUCAAAUUUAAAAUCUGGCAGUCUUUGGCUGUCCGAAUUGUAUUCUGGAGAAGCGUCUUCCGCGCUGGACCGUGUACAAGUCUCUUGGAAUAGAGCGUCAUAGAGGGUGAGAAUCCCGUCUUUGACACGGACUACCAGUGCUUUGUGAUGCGCUCUCAAAGAGUCGAGUUGUUUGGGAAUGCAGCUCAAAAUGGGUGGUGAAUUCCAUCUAAAGCUAAAUAUUGGCGAGAGACCGAUAGCGAACAAGUACCGUGAGGGAAAGAUGAAAAGCACUUUGGAAAGAGAGUUAAACAGUACGUGAAAUUGCUGAAAGGGAAACGCUUGAAGUCAGUCGCGUCAUCCAGAACUCAGCCUGGCUUCUGCCUGGUGUACUUUCUGGUUGACGGGCCAGCAUCAGUUUUGACCGCUGGAAAAAGGCCAUGGGAAUGUGGCACCUUCGGGUGUGUUAUAGCCUGUGGUCAUAUACAGCGGUUGGGACUGAGGACCGCAGCACGCCUUUAUGGUUGGGGUUCGCCCACAUUCGUGCUUAGGAUGCUGGCGUAAUGGCUUUAAACGACCCGUCUUGAAACACGGACCAAGGAGUCUAACAUGCCUGCGAGUGUUUGGGUGGAAAACCCGAGCGCACAAUGAAAGUGAAAGUUGGGAUCCCUGUCGUGGGGAGCACCGACGCCCGGACCAGACCUUUUGUGACGGAUCCGCGGUAGAGCAUGUAUGUUGGGACCCGAAAGAUGGUGAACUAUGCCUGAAUAGGGUGAAGCCAGAGGAAACUCUGGUGGAGGCUCGUAGCGAUUCUGACGUGCAAAUCGAUCGUCAAAUUUGGGUAUAGGGGGCGAAAGACUAAUCGA